UGAGAAGCAUUGUAUGAUUGUGAGAUUGAGAACUGGGAUUAUUUUUUUUCCUUGCUGGCUCAUAUGUUAAGAAUAUUGUUUUUUAUUUUUAUGUUUAUUUUUUUUAGUAACUGUUAAUAUAUCUUUUUAUACUACUGGCUUCCUUUCCCUUUUUUCCCAAGUAUUUUUUUUUUCAAUGAUUAUAGAUUCACAUGCUUUGUUCCUCACGAGUUCCCAAAUCUUAACAUGGAAUGACUAUAAUUGUUGAAAUCCAUCUAAUGAUCUUUAAUUUUGGCAAUUGAGCAAACUUGGCACUGAUGUUGUUUGACCUUUUUGGCCUGUUACUCAAACUGUAUUAUGUUGUAGUGAAUUUGAGGAGCUUGAAGCA
rnacentral:misc_RNA from 1 species